rnacentral:tRNA from 1 species
GCCUGGGUAGCCCAAUUGGCAGAGGCAAGGGUUUUAAGAACCCUAAAGUAAGAGUUCGAAUCUCUUUCUAGGCACCA